AUGGCCGCCGCCACCGCAGCCGCCGUCUCCUCCCCGGCGGUCACCGCCCCCUUGCCUCGCGCCGCCUCGUCCGCGGCGCGCCGGGGCUUCGUCUCCUUCAGCGGGGCCGCCGCCCGUCCGUCCGCGCUCCGAUCCGACCGCCUCCGGGCAGCCGCCGCCGGCUUCUCCUCCGGUGUGCGCACCCACGUUGCUGCUGUUGAACAAGCAGUUGUGCAAGAUGCUACAGAGGUGGAAGCUCCAGUUGUUGUUGUUACGGGUGCUUCCAGAGGGAUUGGAAAAGCCGUUGCAUUGGCUCUUGGAAAAGCUGGCUGCAAGGUCCUAGUGAAUUAUGCACGAUCCUCGAAAGAGGCUGAAGCAGUCUCCGAAGAGAUUGAAGCAUCUGGUGGUCAGGCUAUUACCUUUGGAGGAGAUGUUUCUAAAGAAGCUGAUGUAGAAUCUAUGAUGAAAGCAGCUCUUGAUAAAUGGGGAACAAUUGACAUCCUGGUAAAUAAUGCAGGGAUUACGAGGGAUACAUUGUUGAUGAGGAUGAAGAAAUCUCAGUGGCAAGAUGUAAUUGAUCUAAAUCUUACUGGUGUUUUCCUCUGUACACAGGCUGCCACAAAAGUAAUGAUGAAGAAGAAAAAGGGAAGAGUCAUCAACAUAGCAUCAGUUGUUGGUCUUACUGGCAAUGCUGGCCAAGCUAAUUACAGUGCUGCCAAGGCUGGAGUCAUUGGUUUCACUAAAACAGUUGCUAGGGAAUAUGCAAGCAGGAAUAUCAAUGUGAAUGCAAUCGCACCUGGAUUCAUAGCAUCAGACAUGACCGCGGAACUUGGAGAGGAGGUUGAGAAGAGAAUCUUGUCGACUAUUCCCUUGGGGAGGUAUGGCCAGCCAGAGGAAGUUGCUGGGUUGGUUGAGUUCUUGGCCCUGAAUCCCGCGGCCAGCUACAUCACUGGACAGGUGCUUACCAUCGAUGGUGGGAUGGUAAUGUGA
rnacentral:rRNA from 1 species